UGGGAUGUAGCUAAUGGUAGAGCACUUACCUAGCAUGUGUGAGGCCCUGGGUAUAAUCCCCAGCAGCACAG
rnacentral:tRNA from 1 species